UGAAAGCAUGGGCAAUAUUUCUACGCGGAAAUUUAUGAUCGUUGAACAUUAGUUACAGUAAUGUAUGUCCAACUUACAAGUCUUCCAUUAUCCGUAUUUCAACAAACUCAACAAGACUUUACUUACUAGUCAAAGACUUCCUUGGACACUUGAAGGAUCCUUAAUCCUUAAGCCAUUAGGGCAAGGUCUCCACUUCACUUUCUUCCACCUUUAAAUACAACAACUCUACAUUUUCUUCAUCCCAUUGCUACUCCUUUUUCCAAGCAUUGCAAGAGAGUUUUAGAUACAAAGAAAUAUUAAGAAAUGCCGCCACCAGGUUGGGGACCACCGCCACCAGGAGGAGGGCCACCGGGUUUUGGUUGCUUUGAUUUCCUUUGUGGUGGACUUUGCCGCCUUCUUUCUUCAUGUUUGUAUGUGCUGUGCUGCUGCUGCAUAUUUGAGAGCUGUUGUGGGCCGAUGUUUGGUGGGCCUCCUGGGCCACCACCAUUCUGAAAACUUCAUUUCCAGCCGCUUUUAUCUUCUCGUGUUUGUGUUAGAUGUGUUGAUGCAUAAUGUAUGGUGAUGUUGAUGCUCAUCAACUUUACCUUAAAAAAGUUUAAAAUGGAGUCUUGCAGUUUCUUUUUA